GGGGAAUAUUGGACAAUGGGCGAAAGCCUGAUCCAGCCAUGCCGCGUGAGUGAUGAAGGCCCUAGGGUUGUAAAGCUCUUUCAACGGUGAAGAUAAUGACGGUAACCGUAGAAGAAGCCCCGGCUAACUUCGUGCCAGCAGCCGCGGUAAUACGAAGGGGGCUAGCGUUGUUCGGAAUUACUGGGCGUAAAGCGCACGUAGGCGGAUCGGUCAGUUAGGGGUGAAAUCCCGGGGCUCAACCCCGGAACUGCCUUUAAUACUGCUGGUCUAGAGUUCGAGAGAGGUGAGUGGAAUUCCGAGUGUAGAGGUGAAAUUCGUAGAUAUUCGGAGGAACACCAGUGGCGAAGGCGGCUCACUGGCUCGAGACUGACGCUGAGGUGCGAAAGCGUGGGGAGCAAAC
rnacentral:rRNA from 1 species